rnacentral:rRNA from 1 species
GACGAACGCUGGCGGCGUGCUUAACACAUGCAAGUCGAACGAGUGGCGAACGGGUGAGUAACACGUGGGUGAACUGCCCUGCACUUCGGGAUAAGACUGGGAAACUGGGUCUAAUACCGGAUAGUGUGGGAGGGGACCGCGGCCUAUCCGCUUGUUGGGGGGGUAAUGGCUACCAAGGCGCGACGGGUAGCCGGCCUGAGAGGGUGGACGGCCACACUGGGACUGCGUACCGGCCCAGACGCAACCGGGAGGCAGCAGUGGGGAAUAGUGCAAAAUGGGCGAAAGCCUGAUGCAGCCAUGCAGCGUGUAUGAAGAAGGCCUUAGGGUUGUAAAGUACUUUCAGCGGGGAGGCGUUACCCGCAGAAGAAGCACCGGCUAACUCCGUGCCAGCAGCCGCGGUAAUAC